GCAAGUCGAACGAGAAAGCCCUUCGGGGUGAGUAGAGUGGCGCACGGGUGAGUAACGCAUGGGAACGUAGCUUUUAGUUGGGAAUAACCACGGGAAACUGUGGCUAAUACCGAAUAAUCUCGCAAGAGUAAAGAUAGCCUCUACUUGUAAGCUUUCGCUAAAAGAUCGGCCCAUGUCCCAUUAGCUUGUUGGUGAGGUAACGGCUCACCAAGGCUACGAUGGGUAGCUGGUCUGAGAGGAUGAUC
rnacentral:rRNA from 1 species